GUAAUCUUUCUUAGGAAUUGGAGAAAUGAAGCUAAAAGAGCAACCAGGAUAACAAUACCACAACAAAAUCUGGAACGGAAAGAAACCAAAGCGGCUGCUAACUUGCAUGUAGACCUUACAAAACAACAGUAAACAACAAUGUUUAAAGUCCAAAAGAAGCCGCUUCGAAAGUGCUAACAGUUGAAUUUGGAAAUACAGCAAAAUGAACUAAACAGUAAAAUGCAGAACAGUAAAGUCUUUCACAUAUAAAGCCCUUCUGGCACCCCUUCUUUCUUCUUGAACAUCACCUUUUCCUUUGCUUUCUUAAAAUCUGUAUGCGUCACCUGCGGAACAGCAUUUCAAAAUGCCAAACAAGUAAUCAAAACCACUUCCCAAGGGAUCAGAAAGACAAAACAUUUUUUGCAUUAUGCAGAUUCCCUUCAAAUCUUGCUAGGAUUCCUACUUAACCAAAGUCUAUCCAUUCUCCUACAUAUCUUAAAACAGAAAGGCCACCUGUCAGCUGUCGCUGGACUACAUAAAAAUCUCCUUUACUCAAACAGUGUAUAAUUUAACAUAGCCAAACUUAUAAGCCAACACAUGGAUUGCACUUUCAACACACAGGAGACAAACAAGAACAGAAAUGUCACACCAAAUAAAUUACAGGAUAGAGUGUUUAAGCUCACCUUCAUGCGGCGCUCUCUCAAAGCAAGCAAACCAGCUUCAGUACAUAUAGCCUUUAUAUCAGCUCCAGAGAACUCAUCUUUGGUCAUAACAAACUCUUCCAAGUUGACAUCAUCAGCCAAGGUCAUCCUUGAUGUGUGAAUCUGAAUCCACAAACAUAAAAGUCAAUUAAUCAAAUAAGGAGACUUUAACUCUCUCUGUACGUGUUUCAUUUGUAUUUUACUAUUUAUAAAACAGGCAUAACACAGAUUUGUUCAGCACAAAAGUUUACGACCUUCAUAUAAUCAAGAAAUAUCUUUCAUACCUGGAAAAUACGUCUCCUAGUCUUGAUAUCGGGAAGAGGAAAUUCAAUCUUUCUAUCUAUUCGACCUGGCCGAAGUAAAGCUGGAUCCAGGCUUUCAAUUCGGUUGGUUGCAAGAAUUACUUUGACAUCUCCUCUAGAAUCAAACCCAUCCAACUGGUUCAGCAACUCCAACAUGGUUCUCUGAAUUUCACGUUCGCCACCUGAGUGGGCAUCAUACCUGUCGAGCAUACAGUAUUCAUUGAACAAAAACAUUCCUAAGAUCAAGAUUACAUCUUCAGAGGCAAAUACUCGUUUACUCACCUCUUCGUACCAACUGCAUCAAUUUCAUCAAUGAAGACGAUAGAAGGUGACAGAUCAUCAGCAACUCUGAAAAGUUCCCUUACUAAUUUUGGUCCAUCACCCAAGUACUUCUGAAUUAAUUCACUACCGACAACACGCAAGAAAGUUGCAGAUGUUGAAUUUGCCACAGCCUGAAAGAAUAGGAAUAGGUCAUAUAUGUGCCAAGCAAAGCAGAAAUGCCAUCAAUGGUCAAACUAAACAAGGCAGAAGUCACCACAAACACUUAAAAUGCAGUAAUAUGGCCAAAAUGGAAAAAAACUAAAAUAUGACAGUUUUUCCUGUCUAUUUCAAACUACAUAUGACAGGUAAAACAAAUUUUCUUUUGAUAAGAAUAUGACAGAUAAAACAUUAAAUACAAGUCCACAACAAAUACGAAAAACAACAGCCAGAUUAAUGAUUCUUCAUGUUCAUCUGUCUGAGAAUCUCCAAAAACAAACCUAAUACCAAUGAUUUCACAGCAUACAGCUCAAGGAGCAGCAAAAAAAAAGACCAACAAUCUUAUAGAUGAUUAAAGAAGAGCAGCUACUGAGGCAAAAUAAAAUAAGCAAGAAAAUAUGAGCUAAAAUGCAACAUAAUCACAAAUUUCUGUUUCUGCAUGCUUCAAGAUGCAGACUAGUACAGAUGAUGCUGCCACGUAAAUCGUGGAAGCUGAAUAUUCACUUAUGGUUCUAAACUAAUUGGAUUUCCAUAUAAGGUGUGCAUCUAUGUCACAGCACAGAAAGCAUUAGCAAAUACAGUGAUUUAAAAGGAUGCAAGUUAAGAUUAAGAAACCCACAGCCAUGAUAGGAUGCCAUAUUUUACCGCUUAGAACAUAAUUUGUGAUCAGAUCUCAUAUACACAGUUUGUUUAGAAAAGAAAACAGAUAUGAAUAACUAGAGCAGCUAUACAAACAACAAAUAAUCUACUACCAAACAGCACCAAGAGGAUAACACAGGUACACACAAACAAUUUAAUCUACUGCCAAAUUGCUGACAGGGUCACAUACAUAAACAUUUAGCAUAAAGAAGGUAACAUAGUUCAAAUACACACCUUUGCAAGCAGUGUCUUGCCUGUUCCAGGCUCUCCAUACAAUAUAACUCCCUUAGGAGGCUUGAUACCGAUAUCUUCAUAAAGUUCAGGAUGGGUAAGAGGAAGCUCAACAGCUUCUUUAAUCUCCUGUAUCUGUGCAUCUAAACCUCCAAUAUCAGCAUAAGACUCCAAUGGAGCCUUCUCAACCUUCAUCACAGACACCAUUGGAUCUACUUCAUCUUGCAGAAGCCCAACGACCGAA
rnacentral:lncRNA from 1 species